rnacentral:rRNA from 1 species
GAUGAACGCUGGCGGCGUGCCUAAUACAUGCAAGUCGAGCGAACAGACGAGGAGCCUGCUCCUCUGACGUUAGCGGCGGACGGGUGAGUAACACGUGGAUAACCUACCUAUAAGACUGGGAUAACUUCGGGAAACCGGAUCUAAUACCGGAUAAUAUAUUGAACCGCAUGGUUCAAUAGUGAAAGACGGUUUUGCUGUCACUUAUAGAUGGAUCCGCGCCGCAUUAGCUAGUUGGUAAGGUAACGGCUUACCAAGGCAACGAUGCGUAGCCGACCUGAGAGAGUGAUCGGCCACACUGGAACUGAGACACGGUCCAGACUCCUACGGGAGGCAGCAGUAGGGAAUAUUCCGCAAUGGGCGAAAGCUUGACGGAGCAAAGCCGCGUGAGUGAUGAAGGUCUUCGGAUCGUAAAACUCUGUUAUUAGGGAAGAACAAAUGUGUAAGUAACUAUGCACGUCUUGACGGUACCUAAUCAGAAAGCCACGGCUAACUACGUG